rnacentral:rRNA from 1 species
CCUACGGGUGGCAGCAGUGAGGAAUAUUGGUCAAUGGGCGGAAGCCUGAAGCAGCAACGCCGCGUGGAGGAUGAAGGUUUUCGGAUUGUAAACCCCUUUUGUUAGAGAAGAUAAUGACGUUAUCUAACGAAUAAUCACCGGCUAACUCCGUGCCAGCAGCCGCGGUAAUACGGAGGGUGCAAGCGUUACUUGGAAUCACUGGGGGUAAAGGGCGCGUAGGUGGGAUAGCAAGUCAGAUGUGAAAUCCUAUGGCUUAACCAUAGAACUGCAUUUGAAACUGUUAUUCUAGAGUAUGGGAGAGGUAGGUGGAAUUCGUGGUGUAGGGGUAAAAUCCGUAGAGAUCAAGAGGAAUACUCAUUGCGAAGGCGACCUGCUAGAACAUAACUGACGCUGAUGCGCGAAAGCGUGGGGAGCAAACAGGAUUAGAUACCCGAGUAGUC